UACAGAGGGGGCAAGCGUUAUUCGGAAUUAUUGGGCGUAAAGGGCGCGUAGGCGGCUUGGCAAGUGGAUGGUGAAAUCCCUCGGCUUAACCGAGGAACGGCCGUCCAAACUGCUUCGCUUGAGACCGGGAGAGGUGAGUGGAAUUCCCAGUGUAGCGGUGAAAUGCGUAGAUAUUGGGAGGAACACCAGUGGCGAAGGCGGCUCACUGGACCGGUACUGACGCUGAGGAGCGAAAGCGUGGGGAGCGAACAGG
rnacentral:rRNA from 1 species